GCGAAGGUAAUUAAAUUACCUUCGCACUGUUCAAAUGCUUAUUGAACAAUUGAACACAAAUAAUGAAGGGGAAUUGGGCGCACCUGCUUCUGGAGAUGAUGAAGAAGGUUGCGAUGCUGGUGACUGCUGCUCUCGUUCGACUGCUCUCCCUUCUCACCCCGCUGUGCCCCCCUGUCCUCUCCUCCUUUGAUUUCUCAGUUUCUGAGAUGAACGAGCUGAGAAAGUAAUGGGAUUGUUAUCUUCCACGAACGAGAUUACAGGCGAGAGACGUGGUCCACGAUUGGAUCGAACCCGUUGCAGAUUUUCAGCCUAUUGAAUCGGGAUGGAGAAGACGAACACGGCUGUUCCACCAGCAACGGCGGUGUUUCGGCAGCAAGGGAUUCCACCAGCAACGGCAACGUUUCAGCAGCAAUGGACAUUUUCUUUUUGACCCCUGAACUUUGGAAAUUCAGCAAUUGGACCCCUAAGCAAUUAAAAAUUUCUUUUAAUUUUGCCCCUUUUGGAUUAAUUUCAAUUAAAUCCCUAAAUUGGUACACUGUUUACAAAACAGUCCUUAAUUCCUGGAUUGUUCAUUUUGGUCCUUAAUUAAUUCUUUUAAUUUUGCCCUUUUGGAUUAAUUUCAAUUAAAUCCCUGAAUUAUAACACUGUUUACAAAACAGUCCUUAAUUUCUGGAUUGUUCAAUUUAGCUCUUAAUUAAA